rnacentral:rRNA from 1 species
UACAGAGGUCUCAACCGUUGUUCGGAUUCAUUGGGCGUAAAGGGUGCGUAGGCGGUCGUGCAAGUCGGAUGUGAAAUCUCAGGGCUCAACCCUGAAACUGCAUUCGAUACUGCGCGGCUAGAGUGCUGGAGGGGAGACUGGAAUUUACGGUGUAGCAGUGAAAUGCGUAGAUAUCGUAAGGAAGACCAGUGGCGAAGGCGAGUCUCUGGACAGCAACUGACGCUGAGGCACGAAGGCCAGGGGGAGGCUAAACACGGG